rnacentral:rRNA from 1 species
CCCGCACAAGCGGUGGAGUAUGUGGUUUAAUUCGAUGCAACGCGAAAACCUUACCUGCCUUGACAUCCUCGGAACUUGUCAGAGAUGACUUGGUGCCUUCGGGAACCGAGAGACAGGUGCUGCAUGGCUGUCGUCAGCUCGUGUCGUGAGAUGUUGGGUUAAGUCCCGCAACGAGCGCAACCCUUGUCAUUAGUUGCCAUCAUUUGGUUGGGCACUCUAAUGAGACUGCCGGUGACAAACCGGAGGAAGGUGGGGAUGACGUCAAGUCCUCAUGGCCCUUAUGGGUAGGGCUUCACACGUCAUACAAUGGUCGGUACAGAGGGUUGCCAAGCCGCGAGGUGGAGCCAAUCCCAGAAAGCCGAUCGUAGUCCGGAUUGUUCUCUGCAACUCGAGAGCAUGAAGUCGGAAUCGCUAGUAAUCGCGGAUCAGCAUGUCGCGGUGAAUACGUUCCCGGGUCUU